rnacentral:rRNA from 1 species
AGAAUCAACGCUGGCGGCGUGCCUAACACAUGCAAGUCGAACGAGAAAGUGGAGCAAUCCAUGAGUAAAGUGGCGCACGGGUGAGUAACACGUGACUAACCUACCCUUGAGUGGGGGAUAACCUCGGGAAACCGGGCUAAUACCGCAUAAUAUCGAGAGAUCAAAGGAGCAAUUCGCUUAAGGAGGGGGUCGCGGCUGAUUAGCUAGUUGGUGAGGUAAUGGCUCACCAAGGCUAUGAUCAGUAUCCGGCCUGAGAGGGCGCACGGACACACUGGAACUGAAACACGGUCCAGACUCCUACGGGAGGCAGCAGUGGGGAAUUUUGCGCAAUGGGGGAAACCCUGACGCAGCAACGCCGCGUGGAGGAUGAAGUCCCUUGGGACGUAAACUCCUUUCGAUCGGGACGAUAAUGACGGUACCGGAAGAAGAAGCCCCGGCUAACUUCGUGCCAGCAGCCGC